CGAUAUGUUGUGUCCGUCGGUGCCCGUCCAGACGCGAUCGUCGGUCGGGCUUAAAAGGGAAUCCGGUGUAAUUCCGGAACUGCCCCGCAGCGGUAAAGCGGAAACGAAAGCACCCACAUGCACUGGCCCUCGGCGGCUGGGAAGCGGGCGCAAGUAGGAGGAUCGCGAGAUCCAUGUCCGCAAGUCCGAAGACCUGCCGGCACAUCGGGACGAACG
rnacentral:ncRNA from 20 species